GUUCAGGCCAGUCCACGCUGGGUCACCCAUGUGGCCUGCUGCUUAGCAAUUCCUAAUCACCAUCUUCCCUUCUCAGCCUCUUUUUUUGUGCUAAGAGGUGGCAAAGCCUAUGGGGUAUUCACCUACCUGCUGCAUGAAGGCAACAUGGAGGGACUGUGGUGGAUUAUCUGCAAAGAUGGCCAAAAUUCUCUCAUCCCUACAGGUAUAUACAAGGUUGCUGCAUGGCAUACUAAAAAUUAUGGCUAUAGGAUACGUGCAACUGUUCAGUGACAAAGACCUGUGCAGCAUCGACAGUACCGCCUAAUGAAGUAUCACAUACCAUAACUAAGUAUCACAACCAGUUUACAGACCAGAAAACUGAGACACAGGAAGGGUUGGUGACUUGAGCAAGGUGCAUCAGCUGGUAAGUGCAGAGCUGCGAAUUUGCCUGGCUCC
rnacentral:lncRNA from 1 species